AUUGAACGCUGGCGGCAGGCCUAACACAUGCAAGUCGAGCGGAUGAAGGGAGCUUGCUCCUGGAUUCAGCGGCGGACGGGUGAGUAAUGCCUAGGAAUCUGCCUGGUAGUGGGGGAUAACGUCCGGAAACGGGCGCUAAUACCGCAUACGUCCUGAGGGAGAAAGUGGGGGAUCUUCGGACCUCACGCUAUCAGAUGAGCCUAGGUCGGAUUAGCUAGUUGGUGGGGUAAAGGCCUACCAAGGCGACGAUCCGUAACUGGUCUGAGAGGAUGAUCAGUCACACUGGAACUGAGACACGGUCCAGACUCCUACGAGAGGCAGCAGUGGGGAAUAUUGGACAAAGGGCGAAAGCCUGAUCCAGCCAUGCCGCGUGUGUGAAGAAGGUCUUCGGAUUGUAAAGCACUUUAAGUUGGGAGGAAGGGCAGUAAGUUAAUACCUUGCUGUUUUGACGUUACCAACAGAAUAAGCACCGGCUAACUUCGUG
rnacentral:rRNA from 1 species